UGUGCACAUAAACCCAAAGGUCACGACCUCCUGAUGCCCUGGCUAUGUGUGGUAAAGAAAGAUUGAACCUUGUCGGCUUUCACUGGCUGUCAAAUGUGCCACUGAAAGUGAAUUCAAGGUGCGACAAGC